rnacentral:lncRNA from 1 species
CCCACAAGAAGCUAAGUGCUGGACAACUUUCUUUUGGUAGGGGAUUAAAAAAAAAAACAGGAGGCAAAUGAAUUCUGCCUGAUCACCUGCCCAGGCCUGUAGCACAGCUCCCUUCUGCCUCUGCUGACCAUCAGGUCUGUAACCAGAAAAGUGGAGGCCAACUCCAUUUCCUCAGAACCACAGCACACAAGGGCACAGGUGAAGACAGGAAGCAAAAUGCCAGACAGAAUAACUAGAUGGAGAGACUGUCCCAGGAACCUGAGUGC